AGAGAGAGAGGUUUUUUUUUUUUUUUUUUUAACUGUGCUUCCUCUCUGUCUGCCUGUCCUCUCCCUCCUCUCAGCCACCCCAGCAAUUACCACCACCACUGGCACCAGCAAGCUGGCAUGAUUCUAACAUAUUGUUUCUUAUAUUAUCUUCAAAGUUUCUGCUUUCUGUGUCUCUAAUGGUUUCUUUGACCCUCCAGGGUUGAAUUUCAAUGAGUGCCCUUAGUUACCCACCUUGCUGAGCAAUAGUCUUCCCACUUUGUAAAUCUGGAGCUGAGAAACUGCUGGGAAGUGCACCAUUCCUCUAAUCUGCCAUUUUUCUCUCUUAUUUUUGUUCUUGGUGCUAUUUUGGGGCUUGUAUUUGGAAGGGGUGCUGAUUAGCAUCUGUAAGUUGUU
rnacentral:lncRNA from 1 species